ensembl:lincRNA
CAGCAGCUGGUAGAAGGUUCCUCUUAGAGUGAGAGAACUGCCUUGCUUUUGAAAACUCUUUGAUAUGCCUUCCGCCGGCAGCAGCUCCAGAUAAAGAAUGCAGAGUAUGUGCUUCGGUGUCACAAACUGUGCCUGGCCACCAUCCAUCAUCCUGUCAAGACAUCACUCCAGACAGCCCGGCUUCAAGCAGAACCAGGUUGGGGAUUUUCCUCCCAAGAAUAAUAAACAGCAGCUAAGUCAGGGCGUGGAGCAGCAAAAGUCACCAACCCUCAUCCAGUUCGAGAAGCCUCUAAAUGUCACAGUAAGUUUAUGCAACCCUUGGCAGGUAGGAUAUGGAGAUUGGAAUAGCAAAAAUUCUUUGCAAGUAGAGAGCAUUUAUAAAAUUCAUCCACGUACCUUAUCCUGUUGAUCUUUACGGCCACCCUAUAAGGCAGGGAUUGUAUUCCCCAGUUGCCAGUUGAGCUGAAUGAGACUCAGAGAAGUUAAGUGAGUUCUCCAAGGUCACAUAGAGUCAGGGGAAGUUGGGGUCUGCUCCCAGUUCUUUUGACUCUAAAUCAUACACUCCUGGUACUCCUUAUGUUGCAGCUAUUCUUUCUUCCCCAUACUCCUCCUCUCCUCAAACUGUGUCUCUCUGUUGCUAUCUGUCUUUCCAUACCUAGUCCCGAGCAUACAGUGAAGGUCUGACCAUCUCAGAAGCUGCAUGGAGGGAGGGUCUGGCCAUCUCAGAAGCUUCAUGGAGGGAGGGGCUGGCCAUCUCUGUAGCUGCAUAGAGGGAGAGUCUGGCCAUCUCAGAAGUUCCAUGGAGAGAGGGGCUGGGCAUGUCACUGGCUGCAUGGAGGAGGGGCUGGCCAUCUCAGAAGCUGCAUGGAGGGAAGGGCUGGCCAUCUCAGAAGCUGCAUGGAGUCGGGGUCUGGCCAUCUCAGUGGCUGCAUGGAUUGGGGGACUGGCCAUCUCUGUAGCUGCCCUUGAUUGUCUCCAGAGAGGCACUGACUGAUCAUCGGCGAGUCUGCCUUCCCCUCCUCUGAAUCAUAACCAACCAGGAUCAGCGAGGCUGGAGCUAUGAGGGGGUUGCUUAGAGUGAUCUAGUUCUCCUCUUUGAUUGGAUAGAUCCAGGAGCCAGCUGAGGCCAGCACAGUUCUCUCCCUAGUGAAUGUGACAAUAGGCCUGGGUCCUGAUUCCCCACAUCCUACUGCCAAACAUGAUGCACCCAUCAUCUCCAACCAAGAGACAGGGAUCAGAGACUCAACAUGUUAGCAAACUACAACUCACCCACAUGCAAGCCAGCUGUCCAAUGGGAAUUCUCCUGAUUGAGUGAGGGGGUGGACUGAGGUUUCACACUUGCUUCCUCCAGUGAUGCAGAGCACCAUUUCCAAACCCAAAUAGUCCUCUGGCUCCCAAAAUGAGGGAGAAGACAGGAGGGGAAGGAGGAGCUAAGCUGCACCCAUUAUCAGUGAGCACAGGUGCAGGAGAGAGGGGGUGCCAGACACAUCUCCACCUCCAUCCCUGGAUCUGUGAUUGACAGGCGCUCAUGUAAUUCAUAGAGGCCAAAGGGGAUGAGGUAGACAGAAUAACAGCCCCCUAAAGAUACCCAUGUUCUAAUCCCUAGAACGUGUGAAUGUUAACCUUAUAUGGCAAGAAAAGGAUUUUAUAGAUGUGAUUAAGUUUAAGUUCUAAAAAUGGAGAGGUUAUCCCGGAUUAUCUGAGUGGGUCCGAUCCGCAAUCACGAGACGGAGGCAGAGGCAGAUGAUCGACCCCAGACAGGAGAGGAGAAUGCAGCAGGGCCCGCAGAGGCAGAGGCUGGAAUGGAGCAGCCCCAAGCCAAAGCAUGCUGGCCACCACCAGAAGCCAGAGUACGUGAGGCACAGACCCUUCCCUGGAGCCUCCAGGGAAGCACAGCCCUGCUGACACCUUGAUUUGGGCCCAUUGAGACUUAUUUUGGACCUUUGGCCUCUAGAACUAUGACAGAAUACAUUUCUGUUUUUUACACACUUUGUGUGUAAGACUGUGUUACCGCAGUUGCAGGAAACUCACACCAGGGACUAGAGCAGCACUGGUGGUGACCGCUGGUGCUGGCAGAUCUGUCCAAGUGGACCAGGCCCUGGUUCCACAAGUGAGGCCCUCAGGCAGAGGGCAGGUCUGCACACCUGGAAGGGAGGUGGUGAUUAGGUAAUGAACAGUUCUUCCAUUCCUGUCCCAAUUGAACAUGGUGGUCCCCUCUCUCCUAUUCACCCUCGUCCAGCCUCCUCCCCACCAACCCCAUCUGCCUCCUGAAAGGGCACUUACCUUCACCUUGCUGCUGCUCUGAUGUAUUUGUUUUUGCACUGCUAUAAAUAAAUACCUGAGCCUGGGUAAUUUAUAAAGACAAGAGGUUGAAUUGGCUCAUGGUCCUGCAGGCUGUACAGGAAGCAUGGCGGCAUCUGCUUCUGGGGAGGCCUGAGGGAGUUUUACUCAUGGUGGAAGGCAAAGUGGGAGCAGGCGUCUUACACGGCAGGUGCAGGACCCAGAGAGAGAACAGGGAAGUGCCACACACUUUUAAACAACCAGAUCUCACUAGAACUCACUCACUGUCUCAAGAACAGCACCCAGGGGGAUGGUGUUAAUCCAUUCAUGAGAAUCCACCCCCAUCAUUCAGUCACCUCCCACAAGGCCCCACCUCCAACACUGCGGAUUACAUUUCAACCUGAGAUUUGGGUGGGGACACCGAUUCAAACCACAUCACCCGAUAUUUACCCAUAGGUCUCAGGGCUUCUGCCCUCUCCCCAGGGUGUCAAUAUAGGCUAAGUCUAUGGUCUGUGCAGGAACCCAAGCCUGAAGCAGGGGGCCUGACUGUACAUUGUGAAGUCUGACAUGGGUGGUGAGUGUCCGCCUCACUCCCUGCCACCUCCCUGCAUCAGAGGUGAGUGGAGCCAACUCACCUUCUUCUUCCUCAAGGCCCCACUGAGACCCAGGACCAGCCCCAGGGUCUUGUGAACUCUCCCUUCUUUCCUGCCUGUCCCCACCUGCCACACACACACACACACACACACACACACACACACACACACACACACACAGAGUAACGUAAAGGUUAAGAAGUCUUACUCUUUCUUUCUUUCUUUUUGUGAUGGAGUAUUGCUCCAUCACAAAAGAGAUCUUGGCUGCAGGCUGAUCUCGGCUCACUGCAAACUGUGCCUCCUGGGUUCAAGUGAUUAUCCUGUCUCAGCCUCCUGAGUAGCUGGGAUUACAGGUAAGCUCCACCACAGCCAGGUAAUUUUUGUGUUUUUAGUAGAGAUAAGGUUUCACCAUAUUGGCCAGGCUGGUCUCGAACUCCUGACCUCAGGUAAUCCACCCGCCUCAGCCUCCCAAAGUGCUGGGAUUACAGGCAUGAGCCACUGUGCCUGGCCAAGAGGCACUUGUUAAAGACCACAUCCUUAC